rnacentral:rRNA from 1 species
CUGGUUGAUCCUGCCAGUAGUCAUAUGCUUGUCUCAAAGAUUAAGCCAUGCAUGUGUAAGUGUAAGUAUUAUACGGCGAAACUGCGAAUGGCUCAUUAAAACAGUUAUGAUUUAUUUGAUGAUCGAAAGUUACAUGGAUAACCGUGACAAAUUACAGCUAAUACAUGCACAAAGACCUGGUCCAAGGGUCGUAAUUAUUAGUACUAAACCAAUUCCGCAAGGAAUGUGAUGAAUCAUAGUAAUCGAACGAAUCGCAGGUACAUGCGAUAAAUCAUUCAAGUUUCUGCCCUAUCAGCUUUGGAUGGUAGUGUAUUGGACUACCAUGGCAGUCACGGGUAACGGAGAAUUAGGGUUCGAUUCCGGAGAGGGAGCCUGAGAAACGGCUACCACAUCUACGGAAGGCAGCAGGCGCGAAAAUUGCCCAAUCCUGACACAGGGAGGCAGUGACAAGAAAUAACAACUCUAGGUUUUCUUAGAAGUGUAAUGAGGAUAAUUUACAAACCUUACCGAAUGCAAUUGGAGGGCAAGUCUGGU